GACGAACGCUGGCGGCGUGCUUAACACAUGCAAGUCGAACGGAAAGGCCCUGCUUUUGUGGGGUGCUCGAGUGGCGAACGGGUGAGUAACACGUGAGUAACCUGCCCUUGACUUUGGGAUAACUUCAGGAAACUGGGGCUAAUAUCGGAUAGGAGCUCCUGCUGCAUGGUGGGGGUUGGAGAGUUUCGGCGGUUGGGGAUGGACUCGCGGCUUAUCAGCUUGUUGGUGGGGUAGUGGCUUACCAAGGCUUUGACGGGUAGCCGGCCUGAGAGGGUGACCGGCCACAUUGGGACUGAGAUACGGCCCAGACUCCUACGGGAGGCAGCAGUGGGGAAUAUUGCACAAUGGGCGGAAGCCUGAUGCAGCAACGCCGCGUGCGGGAUGACGGCCUUCGGGUUGUAAACCGCUUUCGCCUGUGACGAAGCGUGAGUGACGGUAAUGGGUAAAGAAGCACCGGCUAACUACGUG
rnacentral:rRNA from 1 species